AAUACAACUCUCAGCAACGGAUAUCUUGGCUCUUGCAACGAUGAAGAACGCAGCGAAAUGCGAUACGUAGUGUGAAUUGCAGAAUUCCGCGAAUCAUCGAGUUUUUGAACGCAAGUUGCGCCCGAGGCUCGUCCGAGGGCAUUCCUGCCAGAGCGUCAUC
rnacentral:rRNA from 8 species